rnacentral:rRNA from 1 species
GACGAACGCUGGCGGCGUGCUUAACACAUGCAAGUCGAACGGAAAGGCCCUGCUUUUGUGGGGUGCUCGAGUGGCGAACGGGUGAGUAACACGUGAGGAACCUGCCCUUGACUUUGGGAUAACUUCAGGAAACUGGGGCGAAUACCGGAGAGGAGCUACUGCUGCAUGGGGGGGGAUGGAAAGUGUCGGCGGUUGGGGAUGGACUCGCGGCUUAUCAGCUGGAUGGUGGGGUAGUGGCUUACCAAGGCUUUGACGGGUAGCCGGCCUGAGAGCGUGACCGGCCUCAUUGGUCCUGCGGUACGCCCCAGUAUCCUACCGGACGCAGCGGUGGGGAAUAUUGCGCAAUGGGCGGACGCCUGAUGCAGCGACGCCGCGUGCGGGAUGCCGUCCUUCGGGUUGUAAACCGCUUUCGCCUGUGACGAAGCGUGCGUGACGGUAAUGGGUAAAGAAGCACCGGCUAACUACGUG